GAUUCCACCAUCUGCCAAAUUAGGAUUCGAACCAGGACUUCAGUCGUUUGCUUUUAUAUUUUGGAUAAAAGUCAAAUACAUUAGAGGAUAUUAAAUCAGAAUAAUUGUGGCUGGGAUCUCAAAAGCAAGUUUUUACAGUCAAUGGAGUCAUCAGGAUCUGAAUAUCAUUGGCAUUUAACUGUGGAAGGAAACAGGAUGAGGCUGUCACUGGCUCGGCCAGCAUUUAUUGCUGCGUUUACCCAGAGGGCAGUUAAGAGUCAACCACGUUGCUAUAGGUCUGGAGUUCCAUGCAGACUAGACCAGAUCCCAAUGAUCAAUGCCAAAGCCCCAUUGCCUGUGGAGAAGGUGAUGUUUGACUUCCCUGUACAGCUACAGUUCGUGUGGUGAAAUUGCUCCCACAAUGUGGUUGGGGAAUACAUCACUUCAUCGGAGGCAUUCAGAGAAGAUUGACUGGGAUGAUCCUUGGUUUGAAGGGAUUCUCUUUUAAGAAAAGGCUGAAGAAGUCCGGACUCUACUCACUCGAUUUGGGAAGAAUGAGAAGUGAACUCUUUCAAACAUAUCGGCUUCCUCAGGGGUUUGACAAGGUAUCCCCGAAAACCUGCUUAUUUGGCAAUUCGUUUGAUCACCUGACCUAAUAUACCCAUCUGUUGCCUAAUGUCAGAAAUCAUCA